rnacentral:tRNA from 1 species
AUGUAGUCUAGUGGUUAUGAUUUGCGGCUCUCACCCGCAAGGCCCGGGUUUUUUUUUAUUCCCGGCAU